UACGUAGGGGGCAAGCGUUGUCCGGAAUCAUUGGGCGUAAUGAGCGCGUAGGCGGUCCGGUAAGUCCGCUCUGAAAGUCCGGGGCUCAACCCCGGGAGGCGGGCGGAUACUGUCGGGCUAGAGUCCGGAAGAGGCGAGUGGAAUUCCUGGUGUAGCGGUGAAAUGCGCAGAUAUCAGGAGGAACACCAAUGGCGAAGGCAGCUCGCUGGGACGGUACUGACGCUGAGGCGCGAAAGCGUGGGGAGCAAACAGG
rnacentral:rRNA from 1 species